GAUCGCUAAAACUCCGUCCUCGGCUGCUUCUCCCCCCCCCACCUCCGCCCCGGCUUCCUCCUCACGUCCGGCAUGCCGCUCGGCCGUACCUAUCCUUGGCGGAUCUCAACCCGAGGGGCACUCGAGGCUGAGAUCUUCCCCGAGGCGUGUGAGGCGAGCGGGAGCGAGCUGCUUUGCUCGAAGCGAGCGGGGCCGCGCUAGCUGAAGGCAUUUCUCUCCGCCGGGGAACGGGACGAGCAGUGGCCGGGGCUGGUUUUCCCCCGUAGGGAACGGCACUCGGAGAGCAGGUACGGUCUGCUUUGGUCCGGACCGGGGAGCCCAGGAGAGCUCCUAGCGAGGCCCCAGCUCCCUCCGCCACGUCCCUGCCCGGCUUCAGCCCCUCCAGCGCCGCGGCUGAGCGAGGGAGGGGAGGCGGCGGCUGGGGUUUCAUUCGACGCCCACCAGGGGCUGAGCGAGCCUCCUUCAGUGCGCAAACUCGGGGCACCAGAUAAAAGCUGGGCUGGCAGCCCUUACCCUGCCUCGAUGGAGCCGCCACAAGCGGGUGACUGGAGAAGCAGUUAGCAGCAGCGCCAUAGCCUAGCGUCCCCCCACACCUUGGGCAGAGAGAGUUUGGGGCUCUAAACAGCUGCUGCUGCGGCAGGAGGGAGCCGAGGGCGCUAUGGCCGGGGCUGCUCGCUCGGGUUCUGCCUGUUGUUGCGCGAAAUGGCGGCCGGCGUCUUGGUGAUCUGUAUCAGGGUGGAUGAAGUCACCAGGAGGAUGGCAAGCAGGUGUGGGAUCACUACAAAGCCUUUCCCUACAACAUUAGGAUGACUUGCACUUCUCCCCAUCUUGUUCAUUGUCCAGUACAUUGCCUUUUGCUUUUAUUCUGUGGUUAUUAAUCAUGGUGAUAAUCCUUGGAGCCAGGUUUGUAUUGGUGCUAGCCCUUGUCCCGGGAGAGAUGAAAGCAUGCCCUGGGUUGAAAGCAUGACAGGCAAGGGGACAGACCAUGGGGUGGACUUGUGCGUCAGCCCUAGCAGGCUGACAGGCAGGUGGAGGUGUCCAUGCUCUUAUCUAUUGAAGAAGACAGUGGAAGAAGUAGCAAGGUUGCCUUUGCCUUCACUGGGAGGUUUCCUUUGCAGCUUAUAUUGCUUCCUGCCAGGCAUGAAAAUCAAACCCCUUUGUACACAGGAAUAAUUCAGUCCACCUCAAACCAAUUCCAGUCCACUUUGCAAACGAAACAUGAGAACCACUAAAAAUAAUCAGCGACAGGGCAAUAAAUAAAUAAUCAGCCACUUUGUCCAGCGAGAAAUACUUUCUGACUUGGUCAUCUGAAAGUAAUUGUCCGUGCUGAAACUGGCUAAGAGGUUAUCAUAUCUACAGCACAUAGCUGAUCCUCUCUUUGGAAAAUAGUGGGCUGGAUACUUUUUGAGGUCCUUUCCAGAUAUGAUUGUAAUGAUAAUGCUAUAGAAAUUACUUGAGAACCCUCCCCUUUGAACAGGGAAUGUUUGAUAAUUUUGCCUUUUUUCUGGAACUCAUGAACACUUUAGAAGUUUUCAAGGCCAGUGUUGAAUUGUUACAAGUCUUGGAAGUAUUGUGAAAGAAAAAAGACCAAAGAGCAGAGGAUGAACAGAAAGCUUAUUUUCUAAAAUGCUUUAGUCUAAACAAAUAUUUAAAAUCUGUGAGUACCAUUACAUUCAGAAAAUGUAGUAGAAAGGGAAAUUUUACACACAAGAUGCUGUUUAGAUUGAUAUUGGGACAACUGGUGUACUUGCAAAGGAGCAAAACCAUCUGAAAUAAACAGGUUAUUCCUCUGAAAGGAUACCUAUAGUCUUCUGUAAGGGAAAAAAAGACACUUUUAAGUCUUGAGAAAUUAUUUAAAUUAAUGUGAAAAACCAAAGAUAUUCCAAUGACCUCUGGAUGGCAGGAAAAAAUAAAGCUGUGACGUCUCAGGACACUAUUAACCAGGAAAAAUCUACACGGGUAAAAACAAGAUUGCCACAGGCAGCACUGACCCUAAAGUCAAUUUCAACACUUAUUCUUAGGGCUUUAAUUCAAGAGUUUACUGAAGCUCGAGUGGACUGAAUAAUAAAAAAGGAAAUAAUAAUAAUAAAAAAAGUUGUCUCUGCACUAUUUCAAAAUGUGACUGAACCUCAGUUGGGCUAAUUCUUUGCAGCUGCCCAAGCAGAAAGCCAGACCUUUCAGGUGUCAAGUUAUGGGCAGAACAGGAGGAGUUCUGGCAUCCUCACAAACAGGAAACUUCUGGGCAAGGGAGAGCCCAGAAAAUGUCGAAGUGCCCAGUACUGCUCUCCCACAUGGGCUUUGUAAGCACCAGGAUAAGAAGCAUACAGCAGGAAGGUAGACCACAGUGAGGGGAUUCCAACAACCAGGCCAUGGGAAGGCCUGGCAAAAGAUGUGCCCUGACUUUACUCAGUUCACCCAGGAUUCAAUUUUAGCUAUUUUAGAUAGGAACAGAAAGUAGGGGCCUUUGAUGCACAGGCACAGUAAAAUUAGUGGAGAGGUUAAAAACCUCUUCUGCUGCAUAGUCCUGCCAAUGUACGUCAUUCCUCCCUCUGCCCUCCCUCCCUCAUGCUGACUAAUCCUCUAAUCCUUUGCCAUUUGAUCUCUCCUCUCGGUAAUUUUAUUUUACUUUUUUUCUGUUUGAAAAUACUUGGAGCCCUUCUGAUUUCUUUGCUUUAUUGUAUUUCCCUUCAAACAAAUGCUCUCUGAUAGAGUCAGUCUUUGACACAGCACCUUCCCUUCCCCUAACAUGGUCUGUCUUCCAAUGGGAUAGACCCUCUACUUCUGCACAUCUGCCUGGGUGUCUGAGCUCACACGAAAUCUGACACAUUUGAAAACUUCUUGUCCAUGCUGUUCAUGCUUGCAUAUCAAGAAAUCUUUGUUCAUGAACACAAUAUAUGUAUGUAAGUGAAUUAACUUUUCUGAAUGCCAUCUUUAGUUUUGUUUCCCAAAACUGUGGAGGGUGCAAUCAAUCAGAUAGGAUGAAUUCAGAUUAUUAGAGAAUGUUUGGGGCACUCAAGUGAAAAAAACAAGCAAACAAUAAUGUCAUCCUUAAAAGCCAGGGCUCUUCCCCAAGAGGCUGUAUCUAAAAAUAUCCCAAACUGAGACAUUAUGUCUACUCUGUGCUGUCAUGAGUCACAUAAAAUCUCCAGGAAAUCUGAACAGGUAUGUGAAAUGUAGAGGAUUUAUAUAAAUCAGCUUGAACAGAAAAGCAUGGUCCAUCUCAGCUGCCACAGAGCUGCUCUCCUGCUGCAGUUUCCUGGGAUUCUGCUGAGAUAAUCUGCCUCCCAAUCUUUUCCUUCACUUUGACGGCAACAGGAAAACAAGGGAAAAUAUCCUCUCUCUGGGACCCAUUCCCAUGUUUCUCAUGAAUGUUCCUGUUCCUGAAAUCAAACAUCUAUAAAAUAAAAACUGAGGGAAUAAAGAAUACGUUGGGAUGAAAACUUUGAGGAAGGUGUGGAGCUUUUUUGGGAGGAGAGAGGAGAUAGAAGACGAGCUUGGAGAUGCAUCGCACAUAACAUCAGCUCUCUAGGAGUCAGGCAUCGAGUAUGAGGCUCUGGGCAGGGACAGGAGACUCAUUUCAUCCAGGGAUGGUUCCUAGUACAAGUGAGCACCCGUUGGCUCCUGCAGGACUGUAGACAUUGGAGGAGACUGGAGACCUGAGUCUGAGAUGGACAGAGUGAGAUGUGUGAAUCCUGGACAAUGGGAUUUAUAAUUGUCCUGCACAGAGCGAUUAACAGCAUGAAUAGGAACAUAAACAGAGAAGCUACUGCCCACACAGAGAGAUGAUCUUCAGCCUGAAAUAUCAAAAUAUUAGGCUGUUGUGGAUUAGUUGCUUGUAGCAGGUUGACAGAGAGCUUGUUGAGCACAGCUUGAUGGCUGGUAUUUUUAGUCCUGUUACUUAUCAGGCAACUGCAUGCCCCAACUGCCUUUAUGGAGGGGUGAAUGGCUUCACAGGAGGUGAGUCUGAAGCUUCAGCUCCAUCCUAGGAGGGCUGAGCACCCAGGAAGAUGAGAUCCACAGCAUACAGGCUGGUGUGCCUGGUGCAGGGAUGCAAGGAGCCAGCCAACCUGGUGGGAAGCGUGAGCCAAGCUGAGUAUCACAGCCAGCUCAGCUGCUCUUGUCAGUGAGAUCUUACACCAGGGGCAGGUGCAUUGUGACUGCAAAAAGUUGAGAACUGGGGCUAGAGCAGCUUCAAGAAGGCACCUCAUCACAGCCUGACAAUUUUCUUUCAACAGGAUCCUCCUUCAAAUGCACCUAAACAUAACCAGAUGGCAGUGACAGGCUCUGAAACCCCGAAUCUGGGCUGGCUUCAAGCUCCCCCUGCCACCCUGCCUAGUGCCUGGCUUGGGUGGCCUCCUGGUUUGAAUGUGGCUCCAAGCAUGUAGCAUAUGCGUGUGCUUUGGUGAGAAAGGCAGGAGGAGAGUGACAAGCAGAGGGAAGAGAGACCUAUCCACGAGUAGGGUAAAGUCAUAGCUGUCAUCCCUGUCAUCUGUCAGCAACAGCCUGUGCUGAUGGGAACGGGGCUGCCUUGGGCGACAGCUCCACUGCCUUGCUACCAGCAGCUCUUGGGUUCCUCAGCUGGACGGCUUGGUGCCAGCACCACGGGACCUUCUGAGCCAGCACAACUGCUCCUGUGCCACACAGAGAGUGCUGAACAAGGGAGGAGGCUGUGCCUCUGCUUGAGGAGGGCACCGAGACACUGGCAUGUAGUGACCAGAUCCAGCGGAUCAGCGGGGAGCAUUUUCUUCCAUUUCAAUAUUUGCUCUGUGCCUAUCGAGAAAAAGAAGAUUUUUUAUCACAGUGAACAAACAGAGCAAAGAGCCUCCCAUUCUUUCUCCAAAAGAGCUUUCUUUUACUGCGGAACAGGAAUUCAGGAGGCAUCAGAGAGCUGCUCCUUCCUGCGGUGGUUCCCCUCCAGAAGGCUCAUCAAUUUGUCUUUUGUACUUGCUGGUGUUUCUGGGGCGUUUGGGAUGGCAGUCACGUCUCAAGACAGGUUUGCUGGCAUGGGGGAUCUAGUAUGUUGUUAGAAGGACUGGAGAGAGGCUGAAAUGCCUUCAUCAAUAACGUCUUUUACGUGAAGUAGCUUCCCGCUCCACGGAGUUGUAGGCUCAAGUCAAACAGAAUCAGUUCCUUGUUGUUCAUCUAUUUUUAUUUCCUCCGUGUGGUUUGCUGCAGUCUUUCUUUACCCAGAUGGUCAAAUAAAUUGCUGUCACUGAACAGUAGUCCCUGAACUGUGAUUCCCAAACCCUUCCUGUUCCUUAGCUGUUGAAUGAGGAAAUGUUUUACUUCCUUCAUAUUCCACACAUUUGCUGGCAUCGCUUUUUAAUUUCUUUCUUGGAACCCAGAGGAUCUGUAGGUAUUUUUGUUUGUUUCAAGACCCUUCAGGCUGCGUGAUCAGACUGCUCAGAAAGCUCUGCAUCAUCUUUAUUUAAAAACUGUUAGGAACUUUGAUCUCUACUUGUUUCCUGACAGCCCUGCUGAGGACAAGGCCGUGUCGGUGUAGGCACCCAGACAGAGUCCUGAGCAGAAAGGCCAGAAAAUGUUUGGAUUGUCAGCUUAUAUUUUUAUGUUUUCUUCAUUUUGUUAAUAAUAACAGUUUUAUAUCUAGUGUUACUAGCUUUGUAUCCUCCAGGAGCUUUCUGGUGCUGUUCUGCAUGAUGUUAGAAGCUGACAUUGGCGUACCUUUGGUCUGGGAAAACAAAUCUUGCUGACACUGAUGCAAAGCACUACUUUUCUACUUUUGGCUAAGUAAUCAGAAAGAAGCCAAAAACUAUCCUGGGGUGCCAAGGGCUGUCAGCAAGGCUGAGCUGGGGGAGAGCCAGUCACCAGCUCCCAUGCCAUGCUCAGGCUCUGUGUUGGUUUGAGCCUGCCCGUGUGUGCAGUGGGCGAGAGGAGUUCAGCCCAGGGAGAGAGCCAGGAUGCUGGAGAAGAGCCAUGAAGCUGCCAGCCAGGAUCUCUGAACAAGGAAACCACUACAAUGUGGCUCAUUUUGCUGUGGUGAAAGAAACGGAGGUUGGCUCUUUUUUUUCAAGAGAUUGGAUUUCUCCAGACAAUUUCCUGAUCCAUGUAAUGAGUUUUUCCUUCCAGCAGAAAGAAGCAGGGCCACGACAAUUUUCUGGCCACUCUUCCAUGCUAAAAGGAAAUUAUCUGUGAAUCAAACUUCCUGAAAUGAUUCGCUGAUUUUCAAAUGCUGUACUUCAUUAAAACAACUCCAAGAAAUUUGGUUUCAGUAUCUCAGAAAACAUAGUAAAAAUAUCAGUGCUAGCAAAUCUUAAAUGCUGCAGAACAAUAAAAGCUUUUAAACUGUCUUUUCUUUGUGUCAAA